UACGUAGUUAGCCGUGGCUUCCUCCUCAGGUACCGUCAUUAUCGUCCCUGAAGACAGAGCUUUAACAACCCGAAGGCCGUCAUCACUCACGCGGCGUUGCUGCAUCAGGGUUUCCCCCAUUGUGCAAUAUUCCCCACUGCUGCCUCCCGUAGGAGUCUGGGCCGUGUCUCAGUCCCAAUGUGGCCGAUCACCCUCUCAGGUCGGCUACGCAUCGUCGCCUUGGUGAGCCGUUACCUCACCAACUAGCUAAUGCGCCGCGGGCCCAUCUCAUAGCGGAUUGCUCCUUUAAUUGCUACUUCAUGCGAAGCUACAAUCUUAUGCGGUAUUAAUCUCCCUUUCGGAAGGCUAUUCCCCUCUAUGAGGCAGGUUGCCCACGUGUUACCCACCCGUCCGCCGCUAGCUUUGUUCCGAAGAACUCCACUCGCUCGACUUGCAUGUGUUAGGCACGCCGCCAGCGUCGUCCUCGUAGCCACGGAUCGAAACUAC
rnacentral:rRNA from 1 species